rnacentral:rRNA from 1 species
CAAUAGCGUAUAUUAAAGUUGUUGCAGUUAAAAAGCUCGUAGUUGGAUUUCUGGUAGGAGUGACCGUUCCGAACUUGAUUGUUCGUGUAUUGUGUUUUCUCCAGCCAUCCUUGUGGAGAACUUUUCUUGCAUUAAUUUGUAGGGAUUGGGACCCGCAUCGUUUACUGUGAAAAAAUUAGAGUGUUUAAAGCAGGCAAUCGCUUGAAUACAUUAGUAUGGAAUAAUAAGAUAGGACUUUGGUACUAUUUUGUUGGUUUGCAUACCAAAUUAAUGAUCAACAGGAACAGUUUGAGGAUAUUCGUAUGAACAUGUCAGAGGUGAAAUUCUUGGAUUUUGAUCAGACGGACUACUGCGAAAGCAUUUAUCAAGGAUGUUUUCAUUAA